GACGUAGGAGGCGAGCGUUGUCCGGAUUCAUUGGGCGUAAAGAGCGCGCAGGCGGCUUGGUAAGUCGGAUGUGAAAUCCCGAGGCUCAACCUCGGGUCUGCAUCCGAUACUGCCCGGCUAGAGGUAGGUAGGGGAGAUCGGAAUUCCUGGUGUAGCGGUGAAAUGCGCAGAUAUCAGGAGGAACACCGGUGGCGAAGGCGGUUCUCUGGGCAUGUCCUGACGCUGAGGAGCGAAAGUGUGGGGAGCGAACAGG
rnacentral:rRNA from 1 species